AUUGAACGCUGGCGGCAGGCCUAACACAUGCAAGUCGAACGGUAGCACAGAGAGCUUGCUCUCGGGUGACGAGUGGCGGACGGGUGAGUAAUGUCUGGGAAACUGCCCGAUGGAGGGGGAUAACUACUGGAAACGGUAGCUAAUGCCGCAUAACGUCGCAAGACCAAAGUGGGGGACCUUCGGGCCUCACACCAUCGGAUGUGCCCAGAUGGGAUUAGCUAGUAGGUGGGGUAAUGGCUCACCUAGGCGACGAUCCCUAGCUGGUCUGAGAGGAUGACCAGCCACACUGGAACUGAGACACGGGCCAGACUCCUACGGGAGGCAGCAGUGGGGAAUAUUGCACAAUGGGCGCAAGCCUGAUGCAGCCAUGCCGCGUGUAUGAAGAAGGCCUUCGGGUUGUAAAGUACUUUCAGCGGGGAGGAAGGCGGUGAAGUUAAUAACUUCACCGAUUGACGUUACCCGCAGAAGAAGCACCGGCUAACUCCGUGCCAGCAGCCGCCGUAA
rnacentral:rRNA from 1 species